UAGAAGUUCGAGUUCUCAGUUCUCAUCAUGCCUCAGGCUAGACCUUCCUUCGGCAAGGCACUUCAACUUUUCCACUGCUAUUCUGGGAGAGAGUGCAAGUGCCAUUUUUGGUGGCAUGAAGACAAUCUAUAUUACAGCUAAAGAGGUUGUAGAAUCCAUGUUUAUUGAUUCAACACACUGAUCACCAGAUCUGCAAAACUUACUGCACUCUUGUGGGCCAUGAAGGAAGUUUAAUUAGUAUGGACUUUUUUGCUUCAGGAAGAGUGAAACAAUUCCCAGGCCAGAACUCCAUUUGAGGCAUUGAUGAAGCCUUCCACAUUACAGCAUAUUGAAGGACGAAAGAUAGAUCAUACUGAGAAGUCAACUAUGGUAAUUCAAUGUCAUGUACAGCAAAAGAACAACCCCAUAAAAGAAAUAAUGGUUACCAGAAAAUAAUCAACGCACUGGAACUGUUAAUGCUUAGGAGAAUGUAGAAUUCUCAAAAAAUUCUUGCAUUUAGAAGAAAGGGAAUCUAUUAUUACUUAUGUAUUGUAUUUAUAUCCCACUGCCAUCCAAUGACUCUCAGUGGCUUACAUGAUAUUAUUACUUUAUUUUAUGAAUGAAGCUAAACUUGCUUGUUGUCAUAAGAACCAUAUAUAUUUACAGCUGUUUUCAGAUAAAACCACUAUCACAUUUUCAGUAGCAAUG